GUUUACGGCCAUACCAGCCUGGGUACGCCCGAUCUCGUCUGAUCUCGGAAGCUAAGCUGGGUCGGCCUGGUAGUACUUGGAUGGGAGACGGCAUGGUAAUACCAGGUGCUUGUAAGCU
rnacentral:rRNA from 1 species